CUUAACUCGGUUAUAACUUCAUCGUAGAUACUCUAGUUUAGUUGCUUGCAGUUGUGGUCAAAUAAAGUCAACGCAAAAUGCUGCCUCCCCAGCGAGCAUCAUCCGACUCCACGUACACCACCAUCCCCGUCUCCUUCUCCGCCGCCAUUUCCCGAUCCUUCCAGAACCUCUCCACCACUUACUCCCGCCAACGUCCCUGGCCGGAAUUCCUCGCCUCCGCCUCCGAAUGCUCCCGUCCCGACUCCCUCGCCGGCGCCACGUCACGCCUCCGUCUCAACUCCAAGUACUUCGGCAUCAAUUACGCCAUCGUCAUCACCUUAUGCGGCGCCUUUUCGCUUCUGGGCUCUCCCCUAUAUCUCUUGCUAAUUGCCUCUGUUUUCUUCUUGUGGCUGUUGCUUUGGUUCAGCAGAGAGGAUCAGAUUGUGAUUGGGGGCCACCAUAUUUCUGAGCAGGCGGUGAUGAUCGGAUUAGCGGUGGUUAGUGUGGCGGUGCUUUGGUUUACGGGGGUUUUCAAUACUUUGUUGAUUGGGGUCAGUGUCGGAAUUUUGAUUGUGGCUGUACAUUGUAUGCUUCGUAUUCCCGAGGGUGUGUUUCUUGAUGAGAAUGAUGCGGUUCAUUCGGGGUUGAUCAACGCUCAAUCCACUCCCAGUGUUAAUAGAGUUUAGGAUUUCCCGAGCUAGAUGUACCGAGUAUGUUUAAUUUGGUUUUGUUGUGUAAUGAAUGAUCAUUUUAUUAUGAAUUGUAUGUUUUGGUAUUGGCCCUUUUUUGUUGUUAUAAUAAUACUGAUUGGUUUUUGUGGAAAUUUGGAAUUUGAUGUGUAGUUUGUCCGAAGAAUAGUCUUGUGACAAAUGAUGAUUGAAGUUAAAAAUCUCAUGUAUAGUUUGUUCGUAGGGAGAUCAGGUGACAAUUGAAAAUGAUUCUUGUUUAAAAUUACAUGUAUUGUAAGAUCAUGAGAUUAUGAUUCUUGUUUAAUAUUUUAUUUAUAGCUUGUUCGUAGAAAGGUCAUGUGACAAAUAAAAAUUCUACAAGAUUUUAGUUUUAAAUUUUAUGUAUAGUAUCUUCGUGGAAAUGUGAUAAAUAAUAGUUCUGCAAAUAUCUAUAUUAUGAGCGGGAUUAUAGUGUGUAUAUUUGUUCUAAUUUGCUAUGCAGUGGAAUGAAUUAUUUUGUGGAGCUGUUUGUGCAAUUCUAUUUAUAUAAUUUGUUUGGGUGUUGUUUUUCUUUUUCAUGAUCGUACCGGUUCAUUUAUUGUAUUUUUUGAAAUUCAGAAUAGUAUAUGCGGUUCGUACUUGUAUGGCCUUGUGACAUUGACAAAGCUGUAGGACCAAGAUUUGAAUAAUUGAAAAUACCCAGGUGAAGGCUGGUCCUUUUCUUCAAACAGGCCAAAUGAUGUAGGUACAGCAAAUGCCAAAUGGGUUGCAGUGGAAAAAGGAGUUUUUUUCUUUCCGUUUUAAAUGCUUGAUCUUAAGAUUCCAGCAAUGAAACUCGAGAUGCCUGUAAAGCCGUAAGGAGUGAAUAGCCGGGAGUAUAUCACAUAUGGACUAUAAGUCUGCACACAUUUGCUGAUUUUGAAAUGAAGAUGCAGUGUGAAGCUUAUUCUUUGGAAAAUAGGUACAAUAUGAAAGGAUACUUGGUCUGAAAUCUGUCAUGCAUAACUGGUAAUUGGCAGCUGGAUACUGUAAGAUCUGACCACUUAUUAUCUUGAGUAUAAAGUGAAGCUCAAUUUCGACCCUUUAUUUCUUUUUGUGAGUCUUCAAUAGACAUCCUUUUAUAUCUCACAUCACUAUGCAAUUCAACUGGGGGAGUCCUAAAUGUUAUAAGACCCCGGAUAAGGUCCCUUGUUUCUAUAAGUAAAGUGUUGAUUGUUUGACUUCAAAUUUUUGUUUGUUCUAUAUAAGUAUUUGUUACUAUUAUUAGCAAAAGUUUACGAGCCUAUAUGUGAAGUAGUUAGCGAGCUGAGAUUUAUUGUGUUCUAGCUCAGCUAAACUGUUAUGACCCCAGCUCAAGACAACACCGUGCCACUUAGGGCAACUCCAACCCAACACCAAAACACCAUUUUGGUGUCAAAUUUGGUGUCAAAUUCACUCCAACCCAACAUCAAAUUGGUGUAAAGUUGACACCAAAUGAAUUGGUUGACACCAAAUUUGGUGUCAAGUAUUGAUUUGGUGCAACUUUUACACCAAAUUUGGAGUUUUCCAAAAUACCUACUAUACCCUCACAUAUGUUAAUGAAAACAAAAUUAUUCCAUCUAU